rnacentral:rRNA from 1 species
UCGAACGGCAGCACGGGAGCAAUCCUGGUGGCGAGUGGCGAACGGGUGAGUAAUAUAUCGGAACGUGCCCAGUCGUGGGGGAUAACGUAGCGAAAGCUACGCUAAUACCGCAUACGAUCUAUGGAUGAAAGCGGGGGAUCGCAAGACCUCGCGCGAUUGGAGCGGCCGAUAUCAGAUUAGGUAGUUGGUGGGGUAAAAGCCCACCAAGCCGACGAUCUGUAGCUGGUCUGAGAGGACGACCAGCCACACUGGGACUGAGACACGGCCCAGACUCCUACGGGAGGCAGCAGUGGGGAAUUUUGGACAAUGGGCGCAAGCCUGAUCCAGCAAUGCCGCGUGCAGGAUGAAGGCCUUCGGGUUGUAAACUGCUUUUGUACGAACGAAACGGUGAGCUCUAAUACAGUUUGCUAAUGACGGUACCGUAAGAAUAAGCACCGGCUAACUACGUGCCAGCAGCCGCGGUAAUACGUAGGGUGCAAGCGUUAAUCGGAAUUACUGGGCGUAAAGCGUGCGCAGGCGGUUAUGUAAGACAGAUGUGAAAUCCCCGGGCUUAACCUGGGAACUGCAUUUGUGACUGCAUAGCUAGAGUACGGUAGAGGGGGAUGGAAUUCCGCGUGUAGCAGUGAAAUGCGUAGAUAUGCGGAGGAACACCGAUGGCGAAGGCAAUCCCCUGGACCUGUACUGACGCUCAUGCACGAAA